AUAUUAUGCUUAACUGUAUUUCCCAUAUUGAAUUUAUUUUUAAAUUGGCCCUACUCAUGACAAAAUAAGAAUAUAUCUGGAACAAGCAGUGUUUUGUAGGGUAUUUAAACAAAAUGUUAUUGUACAAACUUUAUAAACCUUUUACAGAUGUUGAGACAUAAAUGGCAGAACCUGGUCUCUGCUGGAGCAAGUUCAAAGUGCAUCUAGCCGACUGUGAGAAACGCGAGUGAGUGGUUUCCACCUGACGUGAUGUAAUGCGGGAGUUUACCCACCACUGGGCUGACCCCCAUUUAAUUCCCCGUGUGCAUUACAAGAAAACUGCAGGAGGCUAGCCGUGGCAAGAAAAACACUGUAUGUAUGUGCAUGUGUAUGGUCAUAGCCAUAGCUAAGCUUUGUUACACGCAAACCCUUGAUUCUUGAUGACAAAACAAGACACCUGAGGAAGCGUGGCUUCGAAGAGUAAGUGGGAUGUGUGGGAAAGCUCAGCUCCAGCCUUGUCACUGGCGCUACGGUCUGUGCAUCUCCGUGAGCCGCCUCAGAGCCCACACACAGGAACUGGGUCUGUGCGUGCCUUCCCGCCUUUCUCUCAGGGCGACAGCCUGUGUAUGCACUGUGUCCACCUCCAAGCACCCUACUGGUCUGUGGGCCGGGCACCCUGCACCUGCGGGUCCCCCUCUCGCCCAGAGACGUCGGUGCGCCCAGGCACCCGGGGCAGCUGCAGAACGAAACCACCUUCCUACUGAAAUGAGGAGUCUGGGAAAGCAAGCGUGAAGUGACAGACCUGGGGCAAGCCCCCUCCCAGUGCUGGCUGAGUCUCACGACCACUUUCUGUCCUGGAGGAGCUGAAUUUACACCCAGGGCAACUCAUCCUCCUGAUGAGCAAACUCGCUGUCUAUUAAAGAAACCAGGCCCCAGUCCAUGGAGAUUACAGAAUGCCUGAGAACAUUCUAAAGGGCAGGGAACCAAAAGCAGCACCCCCAUGGUGAUUAAAUCACAGUGGUCUAACAUUCCUUCUCCUGAAUGGAGUUACAUUAAUGACGGUACUUGUGGUAUUAUAAGCAUUGUUGAGUUUAGCUGCAAUGUCUGCAAGGGGAUUUAAGCACCCUGAAGAAAAGCCGCAAAAUGCACAGGAUUAUGGAAUGACGCCUCCGUACGACAGAGCAUCAUUAGGACAAGCAAGUGCACAGUCAGCUCUCACUCUACGGGACCGGCAGCCUGAGACAUCUGUGUGCUGCGAAUGUCGCAUGCUCCAACGGCAAGGCAUAUACAGAUCCGAUUUUUAAAAAUAAGCCAAAGAAUGGGAAAAUAUAGAAAAGUCACAAUUCCACCUCACA